rnacentral:rRNA from 1 species
UACAGAGGUCUCAAGCGUUGUUCGGAUUCAUUGGGCGUAAAGGGUGCGUAGGCGGCUCGGUAAGUCGGGUGUGAAAUCUCGGGGCUUAACUCCGAAACUGCAUUCGAUACUGCGGUGCUUGAGGACUGGAGAGGAGACUGGAAUUCAUGGUGUAGCAGUGAAAUGCGUAGAGAUCAUGAGGAACACCGAUGGCGAAGGCAGGUCGCUGGGCCGAUACUGACGCUGAGGAGCGAAAGCGUGGGGAGCGAACAGG